rnacentral:rRNA from 1 species
ACUCAAAGGAAUUGACGGGGGCCCGCACAAGCAGCGGAGCAUGUGGUUUAAUUCGAAGCAACGCGAAGAACCUUACCUGGGCUUGACAUGUGCCUGACCGCCGUGGAAACACGGCUUCCCUUCGGGGCAGGUUCACAGGUGGUGCAUGGCUGUCGUCAGCUCGUGUCGUGAGAUGUUGGGUUAAGUCCCGCAACGAGCGCAACCCUCGUCGUAUGUUGCCAGCAUUUAGUUGGGGACUCAUGCGAGACUGCCGGUGACAAACCGGAGGAAGGCGGGGAUGACGUCAAGUCAUCAUGCCCCUUAUGUCCAGGGCUACACACGUGCUACAUUGGCGCGUACAGAGGGCAGCGAUACCGCGAGGUGGAGCGAAUCCCACAAAGCGCGUCUCGGUUCGGAUUGUAGGCUGAAACUCGCCUACAUGAAGGUGGAGUUGCUAGUAAUCGUGGAUCAGCACGCCACGGUGAAUACGUUCCCGGGCCUUGUACACACCGCCCGU